CUAKGGCCACGCCUGUCCGAGGGUCG
rnacentral:rRNA from 1 species